GACGAACGCUGGCGGCGUGCUUAACACAUGCAAGUCGAACGAGGCUCCUUCUUCGGUUGGGGUUCUAGUGGCGAACGGGUGAGUAACACGUGGGCAACCUGCCCCUGGCUCUGGGAUAACUCCAAGAAAUUGGGGCGUAAUACCGGAUAUGACCGCUGAUCGCAUGGUCUGGUGGUGGAAAGAUUUAUCGGCUGGGGAUGGGCCCGCGGCCUAUCAGCUUGUUGGUGGGGUAGUGGCCCACCAAGGCGACGACGGGUAGCCGGCCUGAGAGGGUGACCGGCCACACUGGGACUGAGACACGGCCCAGACUCCUACGGGAGGCAGCAGUGGGGAAUAUUGCGCAAUGGGCGAAAGCCUGACGCAGCGACGCCGCGUGGGGAUGACGGCC
rnacentral:rRNA from 1 species